AUGGCGUCCAGAGAAUCGAAUCGUGUAAAAGAAGCGGAUAAGAAGCGUGUAUUGGAUGAGGUAUCACGAAUUCGUCGUGCUCGCAAAGCGCUCAAUGCAUUGGAGCAAGACAAUUUCCAUGAAGAUCCGCACGCUGAUUUGGUGAUGUCAAAGAAAGUGCCGAAAUUCGAUGAAAACCUCACCGAACAAACAAAUGGACGAGCUCGAAAGAUGAAACGUAAAAAUGGUGACUUCAUCAAAGCUAAAUACCGCAAAAAUUUCCUCCAAUUGCUGGAAGACGAUCGAUGUGCCUCGGAUGAGACCAACGAACCAUGUUACAGUAGCGCACAAGCACCCGAAUCGAAAAUGCCUGAACGUCAUUUUUGCGCCGUUUGUGGCUUUCCAUCGAAUUACACAUGCACAGUUUGCGGCACACGUUAUUGUUGUAUUCGAUGUUUGGGCAUUCAUCAAGACACGCGAUGCUUGAAAUGGACAGCAUAAAUCAAAAUUUCCCUUUUCAUACAUUGGAUUAAAAAAUUAUUUGACACAAUAAAAAAAGAAGAGAAAAACACACACACAAAACAAAACCAAAUCUCUGUGUUUAUAUUCAAUCGCAUCGAUUUGAUAAUUCUGUUGACAACUUCAGCUUGUUCACUGUGCUGCUGUCUUCUCUUUUUUUUGAAUCGGUAUUGAUAUGAGCUAUGACGUCAUAGGUUAACAGUUAAAUGUGUUUCGCAUUGCAAAGACAGCACUUCGUCCGAGAAAAGUCAUUUUCAAGUUGAACAUUUUAGCACAGCAAUCUCUACAACAAUGGACACCGAACAACUAUUUCUGAUAUCGUUUGCGGUGAUGUUUCUAAUGGUUCUGUUCAAAAUGAUAUUGCAUACGAUUGAACCAAUGCCGGCAAAAGGUCAAACAUCAUGCAAAAUGUCACCUGUUCAGCAACGAAAAUCCAUUAGUGCAGCCGGUGCGAUUGACUCGGCAAAAAUUUCAACGUUUUCAGCUGGUUUAACAGAAAGUUCAACGUUUUCGGAACAGCCCGGGGAACGGAAUUUCACAAAAUUAUCAGUUGACCGUUCACCCAAUCCGAUGGCUAACACCGAUCUCAAAUCGAAUCAACGAACACCGCUCAAACAACGAAAAGUUGAUUCAACCAAACGGAAAGUUGAUUCAACCAAACGGAAAGUUGAUUCAACCAAACGGAAAGUAGCUCUCCAUCGGCCCACUAUUCUGAUCAGUCGAAGCAACGAUGUGGCUCAGGUAGAUACGCAUCUGUUUGAUGGAAAUCCAAAUCAUGUCAUGUUCGCCAGUGCAAAACCAUCCGUCACAACACCAAAGAAGCUAAUACCGUCUGAACCAUCAUUCCUCGGCCAAAAAUCACCUCAAUUGUCGCCGUUCAAGGGCAAAGCAUUUUCACCGUCAAACGUCAACAAGUCGAAAAGAUUGUCGGUUUCGGAAAUGAUUGAAGGUUGGCCAUUCAAACGCCCACAGCAAAGUGUAAUCAAGGAUAAGAAGCUCAAUUGCCACCAAACCAUCGAAAAAGUGGAAAAUAUCGUUCAUUCAGCCAAAUUUCUAGAGACAAGCGAACCGAUCCAACACAACAAUGCCGAUGUGAAUAAGGAGAAUGUGCCGGCCACAGCCAUUUCCAACGAAAGAUACCCGAAAAGUAUGUACGUUAGCCCGUUCACCAUCGUUGGUCGCCGGCCAAUACGUUCAAAGCAACAGAAAUAAUGCUCAUUUAUUGUGAAAAAAAAAUUGUCUUUAAGAGAGAGAAAAAUACCAAUGAAUGUCAUGUGAUUUGUAAUUUUAAAUAUUUUAUUCAUUCAAUUUAUCGUUAUUUCAUUCGAAAAGUUAACUUAUUUUGUUGAAACGCGCCAAGAGGUGCCAUGAAAAAGUUCCUAUUUUUUUUUUAAUUGUUGCAGUUAAGUUUUUCUUCAAAUUUAAUCCGAUAUAAAUAUUAUCGAUAAAUAAAAAUCAAACGGAAUAAAUUUAUGGAAAAAA